CGCGAAGAACCUUACCAACUCUUGACAUCCCCCUGACCGGUACAGAGAUGUACCUUCCCCUUCGGGGGCAGGGGUGACAGGUGGUGCAUGGUUGUCGUCAGCUCGUGUCGUGAGAUGUUGGGUUAAGUCCCGCAACGAGCGCAACCCUUGUCCUUAGUUGCCAGCAUUUGGUUGGGCACUCUAAGGAGACUGCCGGUGACAAACCGGAGGAAGGUGGGGAUGACGUCAAAUCAUCAUGCCCCUUAUGAGUUGGGCUACACACGUGCUACAAUGGACGGUACAAAGGGCAGCGAAGCCGCGAGGUGGAGCCAAUCCCAGAAAGCCGUUCUCAGUUCGGAUUGCAGGCUGCAACUCGCCUGCAUGAAGUCGGAAUCGCUAGUAAUCGCAGGUCAGCAUACUGCGGUGAAUACGUUCCCGGGUCUUGUACACACCGCCCGUCACACCACGAGAGUUUGCAACACCCGAAGUCGGUGAGUAAC
rnacentral:rRNA from 1 species